ACCAUUACAUGGAGCUCGAAUUUUCUCUCUUCAGCUCGAUGUCGCCGCUUCCGAAUGUCAAAAGAUCACCGGCGAUAUUGAUUUUCUUCCUUGAAAAAGACGACGAGGGUUUCCCCUGCUGCAUCGGGUAGUGCUGUGACAUAUCAAUCGCGUGCUGGUCCUUGGAAAUCAGAUGCAAGCUUAGAGAGGUUCUGGUUCAAUCGUCGAGCUUCUCUAGGUGCUAAGGUUGACUAUGUGCUUC
rnacentral:lncRNA from 1 species